rnacentral:rRNA from 1 species
GACGAACGUUGGCGGCGUGCUUAAUACAUGCAAGUCAACUGAAGCAGUGGUAGCAAUAUCGCUGUGGAGGUGGCGCACGGGUGAGUAACACGUAGGUAAUCUGCCUUCAGGUCUGGCAUAACUCCGGGAAACCGGGGCUAAUAGCAGAUGAUGCAGCGGCUCGACAUCGAGACAGUUGUUAAAGCUAUGGCGCCUGAAGAUGAGCCUGCGUCUGAUUAGCUAGUUGGCGGGGUAACGGCCCACCAAGGCAACGAUCAGUAGCUGGACUGAGAGGAUGAUCAGCCACACUGGAACUGAGACACGGUCCAGACUCCUACGGGAGGCAGCAGUAAGGAAUAUUGCUCAAUGGGAGAAAUCCUGAAGCAGCAACGCCGCGUGAGGGACGAAGGGCUUUUGCUUGUAAACCUCUGUAGUGAGAGAAAAAAUCCCAAUCUUUGGGACAUGAUGGUAUCUCAAAAGUAAGCCCCGGCUAACUACGUG